AUGAUCAAAGUUAGAGAGAAUGAAUGAUAUAUUCAUCGCCGAAGGAGCAAGCCAGAUUUGAGUGAAUCUCUCAGGCAAAAGGAUAACUUUGUGACG
rnacentral:ncRNA from 2 species